CCUACGGGAGACAGCAGUGGGGAAUAUUGCACAAUGGGGGAAACCCUGAUGCAGCGACGUCGCGUGAGUGAUGAAGUACUUCGUUAUGUUAAGCUUUAUCUGCAGGGAAGAAAAUGACGGUACCUGAGUAAGAAGCUCUGGCUAACUACGUGCCAGCAGCCGCGGUAAUACGGAGGGGGCAAGCGUUAUCCGGAUUUACUGGGUGUAAAGGGAGCGUAGACGGCUGUGCAAGUCUGGAGUGAAAGGUGGGGGCUCAACCGCCGGACUGCACUUGAAACUGUACGGCUUGAGUACAGGAGAGGUAGGUGGAAGUCCUGGUGUAGCGGUGAAAUGCGUAGAUAUUACGAAGAACACCAGUGGCGAAGGCAGCUUACUAAACUGUAACUGACGUUGAGGCUCGAAAGCGUGGGGAGCAAACAGGAUUAGAUACCCUUGUAGUC
rnacentral:rRNA from 1 species